rnacentral:rRNA from 1 species
UACGUAGGGUGCAAGCGUUGUCCGGAAUUAUUGGGCGUAAAGAGCUCGUAGGCGGUUUGUCGCGUCGGGAGUGAAAACCUUGGGCUUAACUCAGGGCUUGCUUUCGAUACGGGCAGACUAGAGGUAUGCAGGGGAGAACGGAAUUCCUGGUGUAGCGGUGAAAUGCGCAGAUAUCAGGAGGAACACCGGUGGCGAAGGCGGUUCUCUGGGCAUGAUCUGACGCUGAGGAGCGAAAGUGUGGGGAGCGAACAGG